AUGUUUUCCACUUUUCUUUGCUGUCAAACUGAUUCUGAUAUUUUACGAGGAAUGAUAGUUCUGUUGCACACUAUCAGUGUCAAUUUUGACGGGGAUAGGGAUCCCCGUGUUGUUAUAAGGUUCUGCAUUGUUCUGGAAGUUGUACAUGUUUCAAAAUAUACGUCAAAGCUUAUUGUGAAUUUGUUUAUCUUCAUAUCCAAGUUAAUGUUUUCGCUAAAAAGGAGGGCCAAAGGUGAAUUUUUAUUUUUUGUGCCAAAAGAAUAA